rnacentral:lncRNA from 10 species
AAAACCACAAUGAGAUAUAAUUUCACCUCAGUUAGGAUGGCUAUUACCAAAGAUAAAAAAUAAAAAAUGCUGCUGAGAACAUGGAAAAGGGGGAACUCUUAUAUAUGGCUGGUAGGAAUGCUAAUUAGUAUAGCCAUAUGGAAAACAGUAUGAAUGUUCCUCAAAAAUCUAAAACUAUAGCCAGGCACGGUGGUGUGUGCCUGUAGUCCCAGCUACUCAGGAGGCUGAGGUGCAGGACUGCUUGAGCCCAGGAGUCUGAGACCAGCCUGAAUAACACAGCAAGACCCCAUUUUAAAAAAUGAAAAAUAAACAAAAGUUAAAAAUACAACUACCAUAUGAUCCACUGGUAAUGAUCUAUACCACUACUGGGCAUAUAUGCAAAAACAAAUAUAUCUAUACGUCAAAGAGAGAUCUACACUCCUAUGUUUAUUGAAGCACUAUUCAUAAUAGCUAAGAAAUCAGUCUAAGUGUCCAUUAUCAGAUGAAUGAAGAAAGAAAACAUGGCAUAUAUACACAAUGGAAUACUACUCAGCCAUGAAAAAUAAACCUGUCAUUCACAGCAACAUGAAUGAGCUUGAAAGACAUUAAGUGAAAUAAGCUAGACACAGAAAGAGAAAUACUCCAUGUUUCUACUCAUAUGCAAGCAUAAAAGGUUGAGAAUGGUGGUAACCAGAGGCUGGGAAGGACAGCAGAGAGGCAGAUAGAGAUUGGUUAACAAAUACAAAAUUACAGCAAGUAAGAUUCCAUUUGAAUAAGUUGUAGUGUUCUGUGGCACUGCAGAAUGAGUACAAUUGGCAAUAAUACAUUUUAUAUUUUCAAAUAGCUAGAAAAGCAGACUGUGAAUGUUUCUAAACACAAAGAAAUGAUAAAUGAUUGAGAUGGAUAUGCUAAUUACCCUGAUUUGAUCAUUACUCUUAGCACACAUGUAUUGAAAUAUCACACCAAACCCCAUAAACAUUGUCAAUUAAAAACAAUAAAAGAAACAAAAAGAAUACCAAAAGAGAAAUUCCAAAAUAUUCUGAUUAAACAUAUUAAUUACUACGACUGGACUCAAUCCAUGGUGACAACUACCUGCAUAUACAUAUGCAGGUUCACCUGUUAAAAUUCCAGUCACUUUAUGUAUAGUCAGCCUUCACACAAUCUUCUGUAAGACUGAAAAAUGAGAUUCCUUCUCUGUGUUUAUUUUCUGAGUUUAUCAUAAUCUUUUAACUUACUUUAGCUACAUGUCUUAUUUCAUUUUUGGUUCCAAAUUGACCUCUAGAAAAUUGUUGAGGUGAAUUUUGAACUAUUUACUCUCUCUAAAGAGCAGUAAAAAAGCUGAGAAACCACAAUCAGAGGGAAGAAUUAGGACUCCCUGGAUUACAUUAUGUACAAACAGCUACAAUAU